GGAUUCCCCUAGUAACUGCGAGUGAAGCGGGAAAAGCUCAAAUUUAAAAUCUGGUAGUCUUUGGCUGCCCGAGUUGUAAUCUAGAGAAGCAUUAUCCGCGCUGGACCGUGUACAAGUGUCCUGGAAUGGACCAUCAUAGAGGGUGAGAAUCCCGUCUUUGACACGGACUACCAGGGCUUUGUGAUGUGCUCUCAAAGAGUCGAGUUGUUUGGGAAUGCAGCUCUAAAUGGGUGGUAAAUUCCAUCUAAAGCUAAAUAUUGGCGAGAGACCGAUAGCGAACAAGUACCGUGAGGGAAAGAUGAAAAGAACUUUGGAAAGAGAGUUAAACAGUACGUGAAAUUGCUGAAAGGGAAACGCUUGAAGUCAGUCGCGUUGGCUGGGGAUCAACCUUGGCUUGGCUUACUUCCCAGUUGACGGGUCAGCAUCAGUUUUGACCGGUGGAUAAAGGUCAGGGGAAUGUGGCACCCUCGGGUGUGUUAUAGCCUCUGGUCA
rnacentral:rRNA from 1 species